rnacentral:lncRNA from 1 species
GGAAUUUUUAAUGUAUGGUACGCAAAAGGCCCAGCAAAAACCAAAAAGAAAAAAGAAAAACGAAAUUAUAUUCUCUCCCUCCACAAACCAAAGCCGAAACGAGAGCCCCAAAUUCCAAACCCUAAGCACAACUCCCCCAUCUCCGGCCAUACUUCUAGCCGCGGUAACGCCAUGCCCACUUUCAUUAAAGGUUUCGCUAUCAGUCGACCUACCAUAUCUGAUCAUUGUUGAAGCCCUCACCAUCUCCGACUGCAGUCAUUGUUAGACCAACAGACCUUGCAACAUGUUCCCGAUAAAUUACAGCCAUCGUCUCAACAGUAGGUGUGUUUAUUGUACCGGCGCCCAAUGAAAUAAGUCAAUCUUUUUUCAACUUUGCUUAAGUAGUAUGCUGUUUAUUUCAUUAGAAGGUGGUUUUCCUUCGAGAUGUCAUGCGUUGACUUGGAUUUUCGACAGAUUAUUAGGGAAUUUUUAGUAUUUAAUUAGUUCUUACUACUUGUGUUCUUCAAUUUUGAAACUAUAAUGAAUUAUGGAUUAUUGACUUUAUUGAAUUGUGUUUUUAACUAUAUUUUUUGGGUAUUUGCAGUAGUGGUAAAUUUUGGAACUAUAUUGAAUUGGUGGAUUAGCGACUUCACUUUUAUUGUUGGUGGUUGAAAUGGAUUAUUUGAUAGAUUUUAGUGGGGGUUGUAUUGUGUUUAAUAAGUUGUGAUUAAUUGUGUUAUCCAAUUUCAAAAUGUACUGGUGAAGUGAAACUAUAUUUCUUGGGUAUGUGCAUUAGUUCUCAAUUUUGGAACUUAAUUGAAUUGUUAGAUUACUAACUUCACCUUUAUUGUUGGUGGUCGAUUCCCUUCUUAGAAUGCCCAAAAGGAAUUUCGAAAUCUGUCAUAAUUAUAGAGUUAAAGAUCACUUCUUUGCCGAGUGCAAAAGAAUAUGCCCUUGCAUUUCAUACUAUGUGAGCAUGAAUUUGAGAAAUGUUUUGUUGUGGAAAAAGAGACUAAAAACAAAGGGAAAUUAUUCCUUUGUUGCAGUAACAAUUGUGGAUUUUGGGAGUAGGUUGUAAAGGAAAAAUGAAGCGGUCCAUCGAUUAACCUGC